CAUUGUUUUGUUAUACGCGGCGCCGCAGCGCAACACGCGACGCCUGGCACCGCGACGCCACUCGGACCCGCGAUCUUGCACACACCGUCUCGUUCAAUCUCUCCGGCGGCUGCUCGACGCCCUCGUGCUAUCCGUCGCUUCCGCGAUCUCGCAAAUGCCAGAAGAUCCCUGAUGAACAUCCAUAACCAUCAGCCUAUCAAGUACUAUAUCGAGGUGUCCAAGUGGAUUCCAGAGGGGCCUUCGGUCGCUACUCCCCCUCGUGCCGGAUAGACCAGAGCAAGACCAUAGCCAGACUAUAGAGACUGAAGCGGAGUGACCAGGGAGAGGACUCCGUAGGAACGUUCCGGCUUGGUGGACAGGGAGGGCGCUCGGGGCUCUCGGGGCUCUCGGCCGAUUGCCAGAUAACCAGAUUAGAGCUGGCUGAGUAGUCGUUGAUCCUACGAAGGAGUACUCUUUAUGUAUAUAUGACUUUUAUACGGGUAUGGCUGUGGAUCUAAGCACGUAGUGGCUGGAACGGUGCGGCAGCCAGUGGCCGAAUGUAUAGGAAGGAGAAGGACCACCAAAGUGGGUCUAGAAGACUUCCGCCUUCGGUUGGUCGCGCCUGGCUUCCACUGCGUCGUCAGAGUCUAAUAAAAUGUGAGGGAUACUCCAGGCGGCUUCUACUACUCGGCUCUACACUCCCGGGGGUUAUGGCUGGACCAGCGACCUACAAAGAGACCUGCCGCAGCCACCCUGUCAACUCUGGAGAAUUCGACACUGCUAGAUCUUAGGGAUUGCUCCGUUGCUCUGGUGGAUGCUGAUCCAACAUCUUGAUCCCACGAGUACAGAGACGAAUGGUUGUUGGAGGAACCAGUGCUCUUUAGGAGCAAAAAGUAGUCAUUGAACUUAGCGUAUCUUCUUGGUGACCUACUUGAUGACACUUUUAUUAAUUAACAUUAUACUGUUCUGCGUGAAUAAAAAUUGAUAAUACUUUAUUCAUAUAAUCAUACAAAGUUGGGCAUACAUAAAGCUCCUGUGAGCAUGCGCCUUGUGGUCUUCUAAGCUUGCAGAAUAAUUUAUGUCAUUUUUUGGCUGAAUUUUAAUUUUUUAUUUCCGAGAAAGGUUAUAAAAAUUUUUUAUUUAUUUAAGAAAAAUUUAAUAUUUUUAAGAUGCUCUCGAAAAUAUCUAUCGGGUCCUUAAGAGAGAUAUCAAAGAAAGAGGAUGUCGAAGAGACUUUCUAUGGUUUCUGCUGGAUGUUGAGCUGGUACGAAAUGGCGUCGCGGCACGCGAUACGCCUUAGGCGACACGGAUUGAAAUUCUCCGGAUUGUACAGAACGCAAGAUGCAGAAUGGCUGCUGGAGGGUAGAUGGAGGAUGCUGCGAUUGGGCGCGCGGUGCAGUAGCACUCGAGGGAAAAGGCGUGCGAUGGACUCCCUCGGCAUCGGCAAAGCAUUCCAUACGUCAGACUCACCAUCACCGCCGAAUGAUAUUCAACGAAGGAACGGAGAGAGAUCAGCGGGAUGCUGAGGCCGAGGGCUACUGGUUUCUCCCGUUGAGACUUCCAUAUAUCCACCGCGUGCCUUUCUUCGUCACGGCGAAGCGUGCUGCUCACUAGCAGCCACCCGCAGCGUUUACGGAGAAUGGAAUCACUCCUACGCAGCAAGAGCGCAUCGUCCGCUUGUCAGUACGUCACUUCAUUCGUAUCCUCAUCUGGGUCCAGACCAAGUCCAGAUUAGUCCUUGACGUCAAGGUCAGUACCGAAGAUUCCAUUUCGCUGACCAUAGAAAAAAAAAACAAUUAACACAACCAUCCAGUAUUGAAUUACCGGAGGGUAUGGAAUUGCAAAAUUUUCGAAAAAAAAAAAAAAGUCAAAAAUCAACAUGCAUAAAAUAAUCAUUUUUAUUUAAAAAAAAUUCUCCACUAUCGCACAUACUACCGAACCGAACCAGCCUUCGAGACUUCAUUGCCACGGCGUUUCCCGAUAGACACGGAAGUUCAAGUAGCCGCUCGAAGAAGACGCGCAGCAUCCGUCGUUGGUCCAUGAGAGAGUUGAUAAACCCACUCGACAUGGGAGUUUAAGACAUCGGCACGCGGGGCCCUACGAAAUACAGAGAGAGGCCGCCGCGACGCUCCGCGAUCGUCCCGACCGGAUAGCCGGGCACGUCCGCGGGACAUGACAACGAGAUCGCUCACCCGGUGACAGGGGUGCGUGUGCUCUUGUGCGUGUGCGUGCCCCGUGAGGACUUGGCUGCGUGAGAUAGGAGUGCGUGUGGAUACGCAGAUAGAGAGGAGGCAGACACGUGGAACAAGAGGGCCAAGGAUCGAGAGACAGACGGACCACCCUGGCCACAGGCGAUCAUGUCCCGAUCACGUAAACUGGCCGCCCCCUCAUCCAUCAUGCCUUUGUGCUUCGUGUCAUAUUGCCGGCGUCUCUUCUUGCGAGACAAGUCCGCGUCGACGCUGCAAAUUGGCGAGACUUGCAGUCCCUUCGUUCCCUCGGUUAUUCACAUCUCUGUUUCUCUUCGUACGCGUCACCCUGUAUCCUUGGCCGGUAUGCUUCUUCGGCAUAACUCCUUAACAUGGAUCAUUCUUACCCACUCGAUUAACGUACAUGAACCUUUCCACGCCUUAAGUAAUUUCUUUGUCCCGCUUCGAUAUUAACACAGACCCCUGUUCCUUGUAGCUCUUCGAUCUUCAUUCGAAAUUCCGUCAUUUUUUACAAAGUACUUGUCGACUGAGCAUACAGACAAUAUAAUAUUUGUAUACACUAGGAUAUAAGGGAUAACGUUAAAAUUAAUAUCGAUAGCAUUAACGAUAGUGUAUUAUUUUGGGAUUGUAUAAACAAGAAUAUAUUAUUAAAUUAUAUUUAAUUAUGUUUAUAUUAACAAUAAUUAUCUCGUGAUAUCAGAUAGUAUUAUUGAUAAAAGUAUUAUUAUUGCGCAUAGCCUAUACCGCGUUACAAAACAUAAAGCCGCUCUCCAAAAGACACGUGCAGCCAUCCAAAGCCAUUACUGUAUCUGUGAUCCUUGUCACCUGGUAAAAACGCAUUACUAAUACUCUAUUACCAUAUGACCCCUUAAAUUCGAAGUGCCGAAGCGUUAUGCUACCAGAGCUCAUGAUAUUGUCCGAAUGGAUUAAAUAUAUCCAUUAGGAAUUUCAAGGUAUUCCAAUAGCCUCUAUUUCACCAUAAUGGUUUCACUUCUUUACUAAAUCAAAAAAAAGAAAGCCGUGUACAUCUUGCUCACUCUGUUCAAAGUUGACGUAUCGGUCGUCCAGAAUUCCUAGCUUCGCGAUAGUAAAUUGUAAUCGCCACGUGUCCAGAAAUAGUCCUGCAAGAGUAGGAGAGAAAAGUGCCUAUACAAGUUCUGAGCCCCAAUAGGUCGAGUUGGAUAUAGGGACGGCAACAGCAACCAUUAAUAAUACGUUUGACAGAGAACAAAUAAUUCACCACCAAUGGGACUUAUAAUUCUAUGUAAUCUGGCAGUCUCUCUGCUUUCAUCGCACUGGACACUGGCUCGUUAAUUGUGAAUUGAUCGUGUUUGAAUAACGUAAUUAAACGCGGGCAAAAGUAAUUGCGUAAGAGUAACGAGGAGAUUCUGCUUUGCGAAUGAAAACUAAAGACGCGAAUGUGUAUGUGGCUUAACCGGAUGACCUGUCUAUUAAUUUAAUUUAAUUGGGCAAAUCGGUUGGCUCUUCGAUCAAUUUUCGACUGGCUGUUUAAU